GACGGAGGGGGCUAGCGUUGUUCGGAAUUACUGGGCGUAAAGAGCGCGUAGGUGGUUUAAUAAGUUGGGAGUGAAAGCCCGGGGCUCAACCUCGGAACUGCUUCCAAAACUGUUAAGCUAGAGUGUAGUAGGGGAUGAUGGAAUUCCUAGUGUAGAGGUGAAAUUCUUAGAGAUUAGGAGGAACACCGGUGGCGAAAGCGGUCAUCUGGGCUACAACUGACACUGAGGCGCGAAAGCGUGGGGAGCAAACAGG
rnacentral:rRNA from 1 species